rnacentral:rRNA from 1 species
AUGUUAGCGGCGGACGGGUGAGUAACACGUGGGUAACCUACCUAUAAGACUGGGAUAACUUCGGGAAACCGGAGCUAAUACCGGAUAAUAUUUAGCUUCGCAUGAAGCAAUAGUGAAAGACGGUUCUGCUGUCACUUAUAGAUGGACCCGCGGUGUAUUAGCUAGUUGGUGAGGUAACGGCUCACCAAGGCAACGAUACAUAGCCGACCUGAGAGGGUGAUCGGCCACACUGGGACUGAGACACGGCCCAGACUCCUACGGGAGGCAGCAGUAGGGAAUCUUCCGCAAUGGACGAAAGUCUGACGGAGCAACGCCGCGUGAGUGAAGAAGGUUUUCGGAUCGUAAAACUCUGUUGUAAGGGAAGAACAAGUACGUUAGUAACUGAACGUACCUUGACGGUACCUUACCAGAAAGCCACGGCUAACUACGUGCCAGCAGCCGCGGUAAUACGUAGGUGGCAAGCGUUAUCCGGAAUUAUUGGGCGUAAAGCGCGCGUAGGCGGUCUCUUAAGUCUGAUGUGAAAGCCCCCGGCUCAACCGGGGAGGGUCAUUGGAAACUGGGAGACUUGAGUGCAGAAGAGGAGAGUGGAAUUCCAUGUGUAGCGGUGAAAUGCGCAGAGAUAUGGAGGAACACCAGUGGCGAAGGCGGCUCUCUGGUCUGUAACUGACGCUGAGGUGCGAAAGCGUGGGGAUCAAACAGGAUUAGA